rnacentral:lncRNA from 1 species
CCCACAUAUUCUCCACUAUAUAUAAAUACAAUUCAUGCAAGAAAAAAAAAAUCGAUUUCUCCAACCCGACACACGGGAUGACCCCCUUAAGCUCAGCCACAGUUGUGGCAUUUAUUGUGUCCUCUAAUAUUAAAAUCGACUCAGUUUUCUGUUUACAAAUGCAUCCCCACACCAUCGCACGGUUGGAAGGGUACAAUUUUGUGCAUAUCGUGUGCGCCCCGUUUGCGUCAAACGCUGCGAAAGUCAUCGGUUUCUAUAAGAUUGAAUUUUGAUUUAUCCGAGAAAAUAAUUUUGCUUGCUUUUGGUGGUUUAGCCCAAUUUAAACGCUUAGUUUCCAUUUUCUUUGUCAGAAAUGAUUGCUUUGCAUUUUGCUCUCUUGGUUAGGAUCUUACUUAGAUGGUAGAGUGAAUCGUGUCUUCUGCAAUGGUUGUAUAUCGUCUCUAUAUUUUAUUUCCUCGGGAGUACCCCAAGGUCCAUCCUCGGUCCAUUUCUGUUUUCAUUUUUCGUGAAUGAUCUUCCUUCCUUGUUUACCUGUCCUAGCCUUUUAUAUGCAGAUAAUUUACUGAUCAGUGCAGCCUUCAGUCAAACCUUGACACACUAUCUCAGUGGUGCGUUCGUAACAAGUUGCCACUUAAUUUGAAGAAAUGCUACUCUUUAUGCUAUUCACUAUAAACUUCUCCGCCGACAUCCGUUUAUUAUGUGGAUGGUCAGCCCUUAGUCGUGAUUGCCUCUUACAAAAACCGAGGUGUGACUUUUGACAGCAAACUUCAAUUUCCAUUAUGUCGAUGUUCUCAGCCGCAUCCGGCUUUAUCCUUAUCCUUCGUUUCUCCUAUCGAUUCAUGGAUAUCCAUUCUUCAGUUAUCCUUUGUAAAUCCUUGGUCCCUAAUAUUCUUGAAUAUGCUUCGGUAGUAUGGCCCCCUUACCAUAAUUGCGACUGCGAUACAGUUGAGUCUAUACUAAGGAGAUUUACUCGAUUCCUAACCUUUAAAAAGAACGUUGCCUACUUGAAAUAUCCUGAACGUCUAGCUUUCAUUAACCUGUUAUCUCUGCAAUCACGUGUGCAUGUGUUCUUUUCAAACCUUGUAAUGACUUAAUGGAUGAUGCCCAAACCCUUUAGACGGCUUUGACCAGUCUUUUUUUUUUAAAUGUUCAUUUGAUGUGAUUGUUGCACUUCUUUUGCGAAUUGAACUGCAUUUUAGAAACGACUUUUAAGGCUUUCUCUCAAAAUAAUUCGGUCUUCCUUUGAAGUGGUGCACUUUUUUCCUGCCGAUCCUUUUUUUCUCUCUAUUUGACCUGUUUCACGAUAUUUUUUUCAAAAAACGGCGCACUGAGCUUUCAUUAAACCUUAAUUUUAUUGCGGCUAUUGAUGAACAGAUAUAUUCCGGUCAGCCAAUGAAUAAUUGCGCCUUUCUGCUUAAUGUCAACUGCGUCGGUUUAGGUAUGAUCCUAUCAAUGUUUGCAAAGCACGUUUUUUACACAAAAGAUUCACAUCAACUGGGCUUAGAAAUACAUGGCAAGUGCAAAAAAAACAACUUGAAGAAUCCUUAAAAUAUUUCUGAACUUGACACAGCAAUCUUUCAAAUUUGAAAAUUUCUUCGAUUACAGCUCUUUUUUGUCGUUGGGAUCCUUGGAAAAUCUAGAGCGAAAUUAUAAGUGAUUUCGCCGUAACUACUUUAUUUUUAUGUUUCCCAGAAUAAUUAAAAAUUAAUAUCAUGUUAAUACGCCUGUAAAUCGCUUUUCAAAAAAGCUUUAAUUUUAAUAACGAAAAACAUGGAGUCAUGGAGUAGUUUAGUAAACAACUUUGACGACAGAAGCUUGGUAUGUUAAGGGCUCAAAAAGUCAAACUUUCAAAAAGUCUUUCCACAGUUUCCUUCAUGGUCUAUUACAUAUUGCCAACUGUCUAGUAGCAACAAAAUUCCCUAUUGAAUGACAUGAAUGAAAAGAAAUCCGUAAGUCCGGCCUUCAUUAAAAAAAUUCCUUGUCUUUCAUAAUCAUAAUACCACUAUGUGUCAUUGGUGUCAAUUCUUGAGAAUGUGAUGCAGCUCCCUUAAGCUUUCCGAAAAGCCUACACUUUUCCUCCACAUAGAUCUAUGGCAACCCAUUCAUCGGACACCCAGUAAUAAUGGCUUCCAUUGUGACAUAGUCCGAAGUGGAUUUAUCGCCAUUUCUGAAUGUGUUCUACUUUCACUUUCUGAUCAACACGUCCACCAUUCGCCGACAAAGUUCUCCAUUCUAAAUUUUAUCAGGCCAGAGUAGACAAUAAGUUGAUGAAGUUUUGGAACUUUCGAGUAACAUUGGCAAUUACUUUCCAUACGCUGCUUCCAUAUAACAGCACACAGACUGAGAAUCUUGGCUUUGUCCUACUUUGCCAAGAGCCAUAACUCGCUGUGAAAGCAACUGGAUAUUGUUAGCCUGGUAGAGUAGAAAAAGAAAUAAAUUCGGAGGCAGAAUGCAACUCUGGCGAAUCCGCUUUGGACUUCAAAUUCCUCCGAAAUUUUACCUCAAUACAGUACGUGGCAUACAUCUUCUGUGUAUAGAACUUCGGAUAUAUUUCCUAUUGUUACUGCCGAGAUCGGUGAAAACAGCUGGAUCCGAAAGACUCUAAUGUACUCAAUACAGGAGAUUCCAGAGAGAAGAUCAGCCUGCUCUCUGUCGAUCAAGAUUUUGAGACGUUAUUUAAUACGUUCCAGGAUUAUUUCAGCUUUUAUCUCUACGUCAGUAAAUUGCUGUCCCCAAGACAAGCGUUUUUCCUCGGCAUUUUAAAGAGCGUCUUCCCUAUUAUGGAAAAGACAUUUUCUGCUCACUCAUUUAAGAACUGUGGAAAAUCGUAACUCAUUUUGCUGUGACCUCGCUUUUUUUUAAAUCGCUUCCAAUAUGUAAAGAGGGAAGGAGUUCAAUAAUCGCAACUUCAAUAAAGAUGUUCUGCACGUCGAUUGGCUUAAAAAUGGUCAUCACCGUCGAGGUUCUACAGUCCAUUUCAGGCCUUUGUCUUUAUGAUGUUGUUUCUCAAACCAUCUCGAUCUAUUGAUCGCCUCCUCCUCGCCCCUCGUCCUCCAAUUUCGAAAUCUGAGAAGUGAUGCACUGUCUUCAUCAAGAGAAUCUACCCAGCGCUUUCGGAGCUUUCUCUACGCUCUGAAACCUUCUUUUAUCCUUUUAGAUAUCCGAGUGUCGCCCAUAUGUUGAACGUCGGCGAAUGCCCCGAAAAUAAUUAAAAUAAUUUGCAAACUUCGAAACUCUGGAUCCUGCUGGUUAAUGGGGAAUGAAAGCAUCUAUCAGUGAAACGCAAUCUGACAGUAAAGGUUACCUUGAGCUACACUAACAAAAAUUGUAAAUCAAAUUGGAAAUGACAAUAUAAUGUCAGCAAAAUCAGACAAAAUUUGAUCACUUCGUGAGUCUAAUAUGUGUACGAGUAUUAACUGAAUAAAGGUAUAAUUGCUAUAGAUAUCCACGAUGCAAAAAAACAGGCGGCUGGGAAUCAGUGCUACGUAGAUGAGCAGAACGUUUAUAAAAUAAAAGCGGAUCUCACGAGAUUCUGCCAUAAACAGAAUACACAAAAUAGAAAUCUAGUUAAAUUAUGUCGAUAUAUCCUAAUUAUAAUUUAGCCAUUUUGAAUUUAUAGACGUUUUUGACAAAGUAAAGCAAAUUGUGAUUUUCAAAGAAAAAUAAUCAAACUGAUUAGCAAAUUUUACAAUAAUUAUUUAUAUAUACAAUGCGAACCGUGUUUAGUCGAUUUUUUUAAAAAACUUCAAAGGUAACAAUGUUUACCCAAGUCGGUGCAUAAGUCAUUAUUCCUUCGAUUCACUCAUAGCUCUUGGAAUGCACUAGAAUAAUUUAACACGAAUACAAUAAAGCAUACUGUGCUCGCAGACGACUCGUCAUGCAAUAAUGAUUUUCUUCCAUUCACCCCGUCGUGCUUUUAAUAGGUCCAGAACUGAAAAUUUCACGGGAAAUUCCCUUAGAAAAUUCAAAAGAAUUCGCAUCUAUCCGCUUUCACCAUAUAAUUAUAGAAAUUGUUAAAUAAGAAACCAAAAAGAUACUUUUAAAAAUAUCAAAUGGUCCGAGAUCAAGUUUGUUCACUAGGUCGAAUUGAUUUUUUUCCGAACUGUCUUUCCCUCAAGGUGCUAUCCUAUUGUUAAAUUCAGUCCGUUACUGACAUCUGUAAGUUUUUACAUCAAUUCAUAAAUUUUUUAUCUUUGGGAUUUUACACAUAGUCCAAGGUGUCCUCCAUGGAUGCUUAGCAACAAUUGUUCAUUUAGGCUACGAAUUGAGCUAUAAAGUGAUUUUAAAUAAAUUGGUUAUUCUCAUGUAACCUUCCUGAAAUGGAUUUAAUAUUGACAAUAGCAUUGUUGAAUGAGAAACAAAUAAAAAAAUAAAUAAAUACAAAAACUAUUAAGAAUUUAGUACUUACGAAUAAUUUUUUUGGGCAAUGAUAUUAAAGAUAUCCGGGGAAGAAUUUGUACUUUCUAACAUCAAAUAUAUCUUACUAAGAUGGUUUUAUUUGUAAUCUAAUUUUUAUACAUGCAAUCGUAUGAUAUAUUAGCUAACUGUAAGGUGUAUGAUUAGCAAAGGAUAUAGAGAAAGUAUGCAAUUCAACGAUGGUUCCGCAUAAAAUAUCUUCAUAGAUUUAUCAAGAUAACAGUCUCUUCAAAAUCGCUGUCCUAAUAUCUCUAGAUGAUUCUUUUUGUAUGAGAAAUCAUUUAUAACAUAUGUAUGUAUUUUUGUAUUAAAUCAUUCCCAAAAAUGUGGAAACAAAAGCAUUUGUAUUGUAUGGAAGUUUGCACGAAAGUAGAAAUAUUUUUAUACAGGAUCAAGGUUCUUGCACUUGUAAUGAGUCGUCAUAAAUUUAAGAGAUAAUAGGAAUAAAUGAGGAGGACAUAAUAAACUAAAAUGGAAAAAGUGUU